rnacentral:rRNA from 1 species
AUGCAAGUCGAACGGUGAAGGCGGAGCUUGCUCUGCCGGAUCAGUGGCGAACGGGUGAGUAACACGUGGGCAACCUGCCCUUCACUCUGGGAUAACCCCGGGAAACCGGGGCUAAUACCGGAUACGACCCCUGCAGGCAUCUGCGGGGGUGGAAAGUUUUUCGGUGAAGGAUGGGCCCGCGGCCUAUCAGCUUGUUAGUGAGGUAGUAGCUCACCAAGGCGACGACGGGUAGCCGGCCUGAGAGGGCGACCGGCCACACUGGGACUGAGACACGGCCCAGACUCC